rnacentral:rRNA from 1 species
UACAGAGGGGGCAAGCGUUAUUCGGAAUUAUUGGGCGUAAAGGGCGCGUAGGCGGCCUGACAAGUGGAAGGUGAAAUCCCUCGGCUCAACUGAGGAACUGCCCUCCAAACUGUUUGGCUUGAGACCGGGAGAGGUGAGUGGAAUUCCCAGUGUAGCGGUGAAAUGCGUAGAUAUUGGGAGGAACACCAGUGGCGAAGGCGGCUCACUGGACCGGUACUGACGCUGAGGCGCGAAAGCGUGGGGAGCGAACAGG